rnacentral:rRNA from 1 species
UACGGAGGGUGCAAGCGUUGUCCGGAAUCACUGGGCGUAAAGGGCGCGUAGGCGGCUCAUGAAGGCUGUGGUGAAAGUCCGGGGGCUCAACCUCGGAUCGGCCGUGGCGACUCGUGGGCUGGAGCACUGUAGAGGCGGGUGGAAUUCCGGGUGUAGCGGUGGAAUGCGUAGAGAUCCGGAAGAACACCAGUGGCGAAGGCGGCCCGCGUGGGCAGUGGCUGACGCUGAGGCGCGACAGCGUGGGGGAGCAAACAGG